GGGUUGUGAGGUUAAGCGACUAAGCGUACACGGUGGAUGCCCUGGCAGUCAGAGGCGAUGAAGGACGUGCUAAUCUGCGAUAAGCGUCGGUAAGGUGAUAUGAACCGUUAUAACCGGCGAUUUCCGAAUGGGGAAACCCAGUGUGUUUCGACACACUAUCAUUAACUGAAUCCAUAGGUUAAUGAGGCGAACCGGGGGAACUGAAACAUCUAAGUACCCCGAGGAAAAGAAAUCAACCGAGAUUCCCCCAGUAGCGGCGAGCGAACGGGGAGCAGCCCAGAGCCUGAAUCAGUGUGUGUGUUAGUGGAAGCGUCUGGAAAGGCGCGCGAUACAGGGUGACAGCCCCGUACACAAAAAUGCACAUGCUGUGAGCUCGAUGAGUAGGGCGGGACACGUGGUAUCCUGUCUGAAUAUGGGGGACCAUCCUCCAAGGCUAAAUACUCCUGACUGACCGAUAGUGAACCAGUACCGUGAGGGAAAGGCGAAAAGAACCCCGGCGAGGGGAGUGAAAAAGAACCUGAAACCGUGUACGUACAAGCAGUGGGAGCACGCUUAGGCGUGUGACUGCGUACCUUUUGUAUAAUGGGUCAGCGACUUAUAUUCUGUAGCAAGGUUAACCGAAUAGGGGAGCCGAAGGGAAACCGAGUCUUAACUGGGCGUUAAGUUGCAGGGUAUAGACCCGAAACCCGGUGAUCUAGCCAUGGGCAGGUUGAAGGUUGGGUAACACUAACUGGAGGACCGAACCGACUAAUGUUGAAAAAUUAGCGGAUGACUUGUGGCUGGGGGUGAAAGGCCAAUCAAACCGGGAGAUAGCUGGUUCUCCCCGAAAGCUAUUUAGGUAGCGCCUCGUGAAUUCAUCUCCGGGGGUAGAGCACUGUUUCGGCAAGGGGGUCAUCCCGACUUACCAACCCGAUGCAAACUGCGAAUACCGGAGAAUGUUAUCACGGGAGACACACGGCGGGUGCUAACGUCCGUCGUGAAGAGGGAAACAACCCAGACCGCCAGCUAAGGUCCCAAAGUCAUGGUUAAGUGGGAAACGAUGUGGGAAGGCCCAGACAGCCAGGAUGUUGGCUUAGAAGCAGCCAUCAUUUAAAGAAAGCGUAAUAGCUCACUGGUCGAGUCGGCCUGCGCGGAAGAUGUAACGGGGCUAAACCAUGCACCGAAGCUGCGGCAGCGACGCUUAUGCGUUGUUGGGUAGGGGAGCGUUCUGUAAGCCUGUGAAGGUGUGCUGUGAGGCAUGCUGGAGGUAUCAGAAGUGCGAAUGCUGACAUAAGUAACGAUAAAGCGGGUGAAAAGCCCGCUCGCCGGAAGACCAAGGGUUCCUGUCCAACGUUAAUCGGGGCAGGGUGAGUCGACCCCUAAGGCGAGGCCGAAAGGCGUAGUCGAUGGGAAACAGGUUAAUAUUCCUGUACUUGGUGUUACUGCGAAGGGGGACGGAGAAGGCUAUGUUGGCCGGGCGACGGUUGUCCCGGUUUAAGCGUGUAGGCUGGUUUUCCAGGCAAAUCCGGAAAAUCAAGGCUGAGGCGUGAUGACGAGGCACUACGGUGCUGAAGCAACAAAUGCCCUGCUUCCAGGAAAAGCCUCUAAGCAUCAGGUAACAUCAAAUCGUACCCCAAACCGACACAGGUGGUCAGGUAGAGAAUACCAAGGCGCUUGAGAGAACUCGGGUGAAGGAACUAGGCAAAAUGGUGCCGUAACUUCGGGAGAAGGCACGCUGAUAUGUAGGUGAAGUCCCUCGCGGAUGGAGCUGAAAUCAGUCGAAGAUACCAGCUGGCUGCAACUGUUUAUUAAAAACACAGCACUGUGCAAACACGAAAGUGGACGUAUACGGUGUGACGCCUGCCCGGUGCCGGAAGGUUAAUUGAUGGGGUUAGCCGCAAGGCGAAGCUCUUGAUCGAAGCCCCGGUAAACGGCGGCCGUAACUAUAACGGUCCUAAGGUAGCGAAAUUCCUUGUCGGGUAAGUUCCGACCUGCACGAAUGGCGUAAUGAUGGCCAGGCUGUCUCCACCCGAGACUCAGUGAAAUUGAACUCGCUGUGAAGAUGCAGUGUACCCGCGGCAAGACGGAAAGACCCCGUGAACCUUUACUAUAGCUUGACACUGAACAUUGAGCCUUGAUGUGUAGGAUAGGUGGGAGGCUUAGAAGUGUGGACGCCAGUCUGCAUGGAGCCGACCUUGAAAUACCACCCUUUAAUGUUUGAUGUUCUAACGUUGACCCGUAAUCCGGGUUGCGGACAGUGUCUGGUGGGUAGUUUGACUGGGGCGGUCUCCUCCUAAAGAGUAACGGAGGAGCACGAAGGUUGGCUAAUCCUGGUCGGACAUCAGGAGGUUAGUGCAAUGGCAUAAGCCAGCUUGACUGCGAGCGUGACGGCGCGAGCAGGUGCGAAAGCAGGUCAUAGUGAUCCGGUGGUUCUGAAUGGAAGGGCCAUCGCUCAACGGAUAAAAGGUACUCCGGGGAUAACAGGCUGAUACCGCCCAAGAGUUCAUAUCGACGGCGGUGUUUGGCACCUCGAUGUCGGCUCAUCACAUCCUGGGGCUGAAGUAGGUCCCAAGGGUAUGGCUGUUCGCCAUUUAAAGUGGUACGCGAGCUGGGUUUAGAACGUCGUGAGACAGUUCGGUCCCUAUCUGCCGUGGGCGCUGGAGAACUGAGGGGGGCUGCUCCUAGUACGAGAGGACCGGAGUGGACGCAUCACUGGUGUUCGGGUUGUCAUGCCAAUGGCACUGCCCGGUAGCUAAAUGCGGAAGAGAUAAGUGCUGAAAGCAUCUAAGCACGAAACUUGCCCCGAGAUGAGUUCUCCCUGACUCCUUGAGAGUCCUGAAGGAACGUUGAAGACGACGACGUUGAUAGGCCGGGUGUGUAAGCGCAGCGAUGCGUUGAGCUAACCGGUACUAAUGAACCGUGAGGCUUAACCUUACAACGCCGAAGGUGUUU
rnacentral:rRNA from 1 species